CCUAAGCCUUCCUUCCUCCACUCCGGGUCACGGUAUUAAGGAGUUGACGUAUAAGUUCUCGGGUUCCGCGGCAGGCUUGUUUGGAGAUAGCUUUCCUUUCCUUGGGUGGAUCCGUUGAGCGUGGACUCGAUCGAGGGGCAUAACCGAGUAUCAGGUAAGGGUUUUCCUACUACUGGACCUCGAAUCGAGGCUGGAAACGUAAUAAUCCACAGGGGAUUACACGUUAGUAACUGUACCGAAUAAAUGUAUGUGUGAUUGACUUUUAAGUAUUGUUGCUAUACUCUUGUCUGAUGUAAAGGUAACGCGACCGCUAGUUGUAGCUUGUGUGCUAUCGGGUGUAAGGAGUUGCUUG